ensembl:snRNA U6 U6 spliceosomal RNA
GUGCUUGUUUCAGGAGCACAUAUACUAAAAUUGGAAUGAUACAGAGAUUAGCAUGGCCUCUGUGUAAGGAUGACAUGCAAAUUUGUGAAGUGUUCCAUAUUAAA